UACGUAGGGUGCAAGCGUUAUCCGGAAUUAUUGGGCGUAAAGAGCUCGUAGGCGGUUUGUCGCGUCUGCUGUGAAAACCGGAGGCUCAACCUCCGGCCUGCAGUGGGUACGGGCAAACUAGAGUUCGGUAGGGGAGACUGGAAUUCCUGGUGUAGCGGUGAAAUGCGCAGAUAUCAGGAGGAACACCAGUGGCGAAGGCGCCACUCUGGGCCGUAACUGACGCUGAGGAGCGAAAGCGUGGGUAGCAAACAGG
rnacentral:rRNA from 1 species